UACGUAGGUCCCGAGCGUUGUCCGGAUUUAUUGGGUGUAAGGGGCGUGUAGGCGGGAAUGCAAGUCAGAUGUGAAAACUCAGGGCUCAACCCUGAGCCUGCAUUUGAAACUGUGUUUCUUGAGUGCUGGAGAGGCAAUCGGAAUUCCGUGUGUAGCGGUGAAAUGCGUAGAUAUACGGAGGAACACCGGUGGCGAAAGCGGCUCUCUGGCCUGUAACUGACACUGAGGCUCGAAAGCGUGGGGAGCAAACAGG
rnacentral:rRNA from 1 species